AAGUCGUAACAAGGUCUCCGUUGGUGAACCAGCGGAGGGAUCAUUACCGAGUUUACAACUCCCAAACCCCUGUGAACAUACCUUUACUGUUGCUACGGCGGGAUCGCCCCGGCGCCCUCGGGCCCGGACCCAGGCGCCCGCCGGAGGACCCAAACUCUUGUUUCCAUUGUGAUUCUCUGAGUGAUACAAGCAAAUAGAUUAAAA
rnacentral:misc_RNA from 1 species